rnacentral:tRNA from 1 species
GCAGUGGUGGUUCAGUGGCAGAAUUAUCACCUUCCAUGCAGGAGACCUGGGUUUGAUUCCCGGCCAGUGCA